UAAAGACAAAAAGAAAAGAAUUGGAAAGAAAUACUUAUCUUUCCUCUUUUGUCUCUUUUUCACUUAUUCUCCCAGCUCUAAUUUGGUAUGGUGAUUUAGAUUGUGAAUACAGAAGAACCCACACAUUGAAGAUGAAGAAGAAAAAAAUGAACAUAAGAUAUACAUAUCACUAUAAAAAAAAUCAUUAUUCAGUGAUAAAGUUUUUACGGGCAAAAAUUACUUGAUAACAAUCCAACAAAAAGAUCACAAAAAAUAUUACUAUUAGCAACAAGUUUUAAUUUGGGCCACUAAAAGAAUUAAUAAGAAAUGAAUAUUAUUCACUAAAUAUUAAAUAGUUUUAGCAUCAAUCAUGGCGUAGGUUGCUAAAAUUUUGUGAAAUCCUGAAAUAAUUAAUAAAAUAAAAAAAAACAACUUUCUCUCCAUCUCCACAAACAAUCCCACCCUCCACCCCAAACCUCUCUUGCGAAGGCCUCCAUUGAUUCGCCCCACCCUCUACCGCUUUGUCGUCCGCCUCCAUUGGCAUUUGGUGUGCGACUUGGACUUUCACCCUCUGCUUUGUCGUCCCACCCUUUGCCACAUGUCGAGACGAUCAGGGAGAAGAGAGAUGGCUUGCUGUGCGAAUUGGACCUUUCACAUGUCGGUGUUUGACGUCACUACAGUGUGCUCCAAGACUCCCUUGGUCGUCGACGUUGGUUAUGCUUUUGUGGCCGAAACGAAAUCUAAUAGGGUCAUCUUCCCAAUGUGAAUCUAUAUUUUUUCUCCAUGGUUGGCUGUGUGAUGAAGUAAUUUGGUCACUUACAAUGUGUUUGAUGAAGUUCUUUAGUGAAGCAUUUGGUUGAUUUUUGUUUGCUCGAAUUAGGAAAAUAGUCUAGGAAGAUUCCAUGGCUAUGGGAGGAAGCUUUGAGAAAAAGAGAAUGAAAAAUUAAUUAUGAGAUUUUUAACUUUGAUGUUGAUAUAAGUUGGGAUGAGUUUAAAGGGGCAUUCUUUGAUAGUUUUAUCUGCACUCUUUCCAUGAUGAAAAACGAAGUGAGUUCUUGAAGCUCACUCAGAGUUCAAUGACUGUUGUUGAAUAUGAGAAGAAGUAUACAAAAUUGUCUAAGUACGCCACCAGUUUGAUUGAGGAUGAGGCUAAAAGGUGCAAGCGAUUUGAAGAGGGAUUACGAGAGAAAAUCCGUACUCCCAUGAGUAGGAUAGAUUUGGACAUAAGCUUAAAUGCAGAACCAACACUAUAUAUAAGAUGUACCUAUUAUACAUGUACUAAUUCAAAGAAGAUAUACUCAAGUGCAAGAGCCUCAUGAAUUUGUA